rnacentral:rRNA from 1 species
CCUACGGUAGGCAGCAGUGAGGAAUAUUGGUCACUGGACGAGAGUCUGAACCAGCCAAGUAGCGUGAAGUAUGACUGCCCUAUGGGUUGUAAACUUCUUUUAUAUGGGAAUAAAAUGUUCCACGUGUGGGAUUUUGUAUGUACCAUAUGAAUAAGGAUCGGCUAACUCCUGGCCAGCAGCCGCGAUAAUACGGAGGAUCCGAUCGUUAUCCGGAUUUAUUGGGUUUAAAGGGAGCGUAGGUGGAUUGUUAAGUCAGUUGUGAAAGUUUGCGGCUCAACCGUAAAAUUGCAGUUGACACUGGCAGUCUUGAGUACAGUAGAGGUGGGCGGAAUUCGUGGUGUAGCGGUGAAAUGCUUAGAUAUCACGAAGAACUCCGAUUGCGAAGGCAGUUCACUGGACUGCAACUGACACUGAGGCUCGAAAGUGUGGGUAUCAAACAGGAUUAGAUACCCCUGUAGUC